AUUAUUCUUUAUAUGGCAGAAAAAUGCAUUAGAAUUAGAAUCUAAUUAUGUAAAAAUUACAUUCAUUUUAUUACUAUUAAUUAGUACACUAAGA
rnacentral:tRNA from 1 species